CGUCGACCGGCGCACGGGUGAGUAACGCGUAUCCAACCUUCCCAUUACUGUGGGAUAACCUGCCGAAAGGCAGACUAAUACCGCAUAGUCUUCGAUGACGGCAUCAGAUUUGAAGUAAAGAUUUAUCGGUAAUGGAUGGGGAUGCGUCUGAUUAGCUUGUUGGCGGGGUAACGGCCCACCAAGGCGACGAUCAGUAGGGGUUCUGAGAGGAAGGUCCCCCACAUUGGAACUGAGACACGGUCCAAACUCCUACGGGAGGCAGCAGCU
rnacentral:rRNA from 1 species